rnacentral:rRNA from 1 species
UACGUAGGGUGCAAGCGUUGUCCGGAAUUAUUGGGCGUAAAGAGCUCGUAGGCGGUUCGUCGCGUCGGCUGUGAAAACCCGGAGCUCAACUCCGGGCCUGCAGUCGAUACGGGCGGACUUGAGUGUUGCAGGGGAGACUGGAAUUCCUGGUGUAGCGGUGAAAUGCGCAGAUAUCGGGAGGAACACCAAUGGCGAAGGCAGCUCGCUGGGACGGUACUGACGCUGAGACGCGAAAGCGUGGGGAGCAAACAGG